GGAGAUUUAGCUCAGUGGCAUAAGCACCUGCCUUGCAAGCAGGUGGUUGUGAGUUCGAUCCCCAGUACUGUUUA
rfam:Cavia porcellus supercont2_19 genomic scaffold, whole genome shotgun sequence.